rnacentral:rRNA from 1 species
GAUGAACGCUAGCGGCAGGCCUAAUACAUGUAAGUCGAACGAUGCCAGAGAGCUUGCUUCCUUGAGACCGGCGCACGGGUGCGUAACGCGUAUGCAAUCUACCUUUUACAGAGGGAUAGCCCAGAGAAAUUUGGAUUAAUACCUCAUAGUAUUUUCGAAUGGCAUCAUUUGAUUAUUAAAGUUUCAACGGUAAAAGAUGAGCAUGCGUCCUAUUAGCUAGAUGGUAAGGUAACGGCUUACCAUGGCAACGAUAGGUAGGGGUCCUGAGAGGGAGAUCCCCCACACUGGUACUGAGACACGGACCAGACUCCUACGGGAGGCAGCAGUGAGGAAUAUUGGACAAUGGGCGCAAGCCUGAUCCAGCCAUGCCGCGUGCAGGAAGACGCAUCUAUGGUGUGUAAACUGCUUUUGUACGGGAAGAAACACUCCCUCGUGAGGGAGCUUGACGGUACCGUAAGAAUAAGGAUCGGCUAACUCCGUGCCAGCCGCCGCCGUAAUAC